rnacentral:rRNA from 1 species
UGCCAGCAGCCGCGGUAAUACGGAGGGUGCGAGCGUUAAUCGGAAUUACUGGGCGUAAAGCGCGCGUAGGCGGCUUUGUAAGUCGGAUGUGAAAUCCCCGAGCUUAACUUGGGAAUUGCAUUCGAUACUGCAAGGCUAGAGUGUGAUAGAGGUAAGUGGAAUUCCGGGUGUAGCGGUGAAAUGCGUAGAUAUCCGGAGGAACAUCAGUGGCGAAGGCGGCUUACUGGAUCAACACUGACGCUGAGGUGCGAAAGCGUGGGGAGCAAACAGGAUUAGAUA